AGUGCCUUACUACAAGGAACGAGUUGCAGCUGAUACAUGCUCUUUGGAGGAAGAGGAAGAUAAUAACCAGGAAGACUACUCCUUUGAUGAGGGUUCUGAGACACAGGCUACUACAAUUCUUAAAGCUAUAGAAAAUUCAUUCGAGGAUACUGAAAUUGAUAUCGAUCAAGAUGGGGAGGACUUUGAAACUCCAGUACAAGCACAAGUUUC